rnacentral:rRNA from 1 species
GAUGAACGCUGGCGGCGUGCCUAAUACAUGCAAGUCGAGCGAACAGACGAGGCGCUUGCUCCUCUGACGUUAGCGGCGGACGGGUGAGUAACACGUGGAUAACCUACCUAUAAGACUGGGAUAACUUCGGGAAACCGGAGCUAAUACCGGAUAAUAUAUUGAACCGCAUGGUUCAAUAGUGAAAGACGGUUUUGCUGUCACUUAUAGAUGGAUCCGCGCCGCAUUAGCUAGUUGGUAAGGUAACGGCUUACCAAGGCUACGAUGCGUAGCCGACCUGAGAGGGUGAUCGGCCACACUGGAACUGAGACACGGUCCAGACUCCUACGGGAGGCAGCAGUAGGGAAUCUUCCGCAAUGGGCGAAAGCCUGACGGAGCAACGCCGCGUGAGUGAAGAAGGUCUUCGGAUCGUAAAACUCUGUUAGUAGGGAAGAACAAAUGUGUAAGUAACUAUGCCCGUCUUGACGGUACCUAAUCAGAAAGCCACGGCUAACUACGUG